GAUGAACGCUGGCGGCGUGCCUAAUACAUGCAAGUCGAGCGAACAGAUGAGGAGCUUGCUCUUCUUACGUUAGCGGCGGACGGGUGAGUAACACGUGGGUAACCUACCUAUAAGACUGGGAUAACUUCGGGAAACCGUAGCUAAUACCGGAUAAUAUAUUGAACCGCAUGGUUUAAUAUUGAAAGACGGAUUUGCUCUCAUUUAUAGAUGGAUCCGCGCCGCAUUAGCUAGUUGGUAAGGUAACGGCUUACCAAGGCAACGAUGCUUACCCGACCUGAGAGGGUGAUCGGCCACACUGGAACUGAGACACGGUCCAGACUCCUACGGGAGGCAGCAGUAGGGAAUCUUCCGAAAUGGGCGAAAGCCUGACGGAGCAACGCCGCGGGGUUGAGGAAGUUCUUCGGACGGUAAACCUCUGUGAUUGGGGAGGAAGAGAUGUGUAAGUAACUAUGCACGCCUUGACGGUACCUUAUCAGAAAGCCACGGCUAACUACGUG
rnacentral:rRNA from 1 species